rnacentral:rRNA from 1 species
ACGAGGGUGACAGGUGGUGCAUGGUUGUCGUCAGCUCGUGUCGUGAGAUGUUGGGUUAAGUCCCGCAACGAGCGCAACCCUCGACCUUAGUUGCCAGCAUUCAGUUGGGCACUCUAAGGUGACUGCCGGCUAAAAGUCGGAGGAAGGUGGGGAUGACGUCAAAUCAUCAUGCCCCUUAUGACCUGGGCUACACACGUGCUACAAUGGGCGGUACAAAGGGUCGCGAACCCGCGAGGGGAGCCAAUCCCAAAAAGCCGCUCUCAGUUCGGAUUGCAGGCUGCAACUCGCCUGCAUGAAGCCGGAAUCGCUAGUAAUCGCGGAUCAGCAUGCCGCGGUGAAUACGUUCCCGGGCCUU